rnacentral:rRNA from 1 species
GACGAACGCUGGCGGCGUGCCUAAUACAUGCAAGUUGAGCGCUGAAGGUUGGUACUUGUACCAACUGGAUGAGCAGCGAACGGGUGAGUAACGCGUGGGGAAUCUGCCUUUGAGCGGGGGACAACAUUUGGAAACGAAUGCUAAUACCGCAUAAAAACUUUAAACACAAGUUUUAAGUUUGAAAGAUGCAAUUGCAUCACUCAAAGAUGAUCCCGCGUUGUAUUAGCUAGUUGGUGAGGUAAAGGCUCACCAAGGCGAUGAUACAUAGCCGACCUGAUAGGGUGAUCGGCCACAUUGGGACUGAGACACGGCCCAAACUCCUACGGGAGGCAGCAGUAGGGAAUCUUCCGAAAUGGACGAAAGUCUGACCGAGCAACGCCGCGUGAGUGAAGAAGGUUUUCGGAUCGUAAAACUCUGUUGGUAGAGAAGAACGUUGGUGAGAGUGGAAAGCUCAUCAAGUGACGGUAACUACCCAGAAAGGGACGGCUAACUACGUG